rnacentral:lncRNA from 1 species
AAAAAAAAAAAAAAAGACUGAAGCGAACUGGCCGGAAACUAAUCACGAUGCAUUUCUCUCUCUCUCUCUUUUCUUCUUCUUUUUUUUUUCAAAACAUUGGUAUAUUAAAAAUUUAUUUGUUUUUAUAUUUUAAAAGUAUUUUAAAAAAUUAAAAAAGAUGUUUUUUUGUUUUGAAUUUUUUUUUUUAUGUUUUAAAAUUAUUUUGAUGUACUAAUAUUAAAAUAAUUUUUUUAAAAUAAAAAACUAUUACUUUAAUAUAUUUUUAAGUAAAACAUACUUUAAAAAUAAUUAUCUCCGCACUUUAAAAUACACUCUAAAUUAUUAAUAGAUAUUGUGCAGACUAGCAACGGUGCUGCAGGCUGAUAUUGGAAGCUCCUACCAUGAACACCUCAAUUUCCCUGUCGAAUGACCAACCAAUUACCCCACGCGUCAUCUACAGACAGUAAUUCUUAAAAUUAAGAAUAAUUUUCUAUCUCAUAUUAACUAUACGUAAUUGUACUCUAUAUCCUAGCAAUGUCAAUUCACCAUGAAGAUUGUAGAUCAGAAGCUCAUUCUACCUAUACUGAGUUCUGCCUUCCACUUUCCUAUGUGGAUAGAAGACUUAGCAGGAUGGGAUUUCUUCUAGCCACUCAGUAUUUCCUUGGCUACCAUUAAUUUAACUGAUAUCAUAUGGGAUUAUAGCUGUCAUAUUGUCUUGUUAGAAUCCUCUCUUUUCCUUCCCAUGUGAUGCUGUUGGACCACAAAAUUGGAUGAUUUCCUAAUCAUAUCUUCCUUUCUACCGAUGCACUUCUGUCAGAAGCUGGAUUUUGUUUGACAAACCAGCAAGGAGGAUUCUCAACUCCAAACUAUGCUCUACCCAAAGAAUGGCUGUAUCAUAACGUUAUACAUAUAUAAUUGAAGUGUAAUAAUAAUGGCUGUAUCAUAGUAUAAAUUUAGCUUGACAAAUGCUAUUGAUUUUUAGCAAUUCAUGUAAUGCAUGCCUUUUUGCUGAGAGUAUGAACUUUAUCAAGUUCUGCCAAAUGCUUAAUUACUCAUGCCUGACCUUGUUUGAAUAGCCAAUUAAAAACAAAAAGAUUGCACCUUUUAAAUUUAUUAGGAGACUAUUAACGAAAAGAGGCUCCUUGUUGUUUUGCGUAAUCACGAGAGGGAGACUUGUAGGACAAGAGUUGUGGUUUAUAGCUAGCUCGUCCAAUUUCCACCAUACCCCAAUUGCCAGUUGUGUACAAGUUCUAUAUAAACCAAACAAAACUUAUCAAGAAGACACACUCGAAACCCAGCAACCAAUAGCAUCCCGAUGAAAAUGCUUCACUUUGCCGUUCUCUUUGCUCUCCUGUUUUCUUCCUCCUCUCAUGCAGCUGAUUUCUGUGUUGCAAAACUAAAGGGUGCAGGAAGCCCUGCGGGGUACGCCUGCAGAAUGCCCUCAAAUGUCACAGUCGAUGAUUUUGUGUUUACUGGCCUUGGCGUUGCUGGUAACACUACCAAUAUCAUCAGUGCUGCUGUCACCCCAGCUUUUGUACAGCAAUUUCCUGGUGUAAAUGGGCUCGGUCUAUCCAUGGCUCGACUAGACCUAGCACCAGCUGGUGUUAUCCCGAUGCACACUCACCCGGGUGCAUCCGAAAUCUUAUUCGUGGUGCAAGGUAAGAUCACUGCUGGAUUCAUUUCCAGCUCGGCCAACACUGUUUACGUUAAGACUCUUAAGAAGGGUGAUGUUAUGGUGUUUCCACGAGGGUUGCUUCACUUUCAAAUCAAUGCUGCUGGGAUACAAGCAAUCGCUGUUGUUAGCUUUAGUGACCCUGAUCCUGGCCUCCAAAUCACUGAUUUUGCGUUCUUUGCCAACGACUUGUCCUCAGAACUGCUGGAGAAAUCAACUUUUCUUGAUGAUGCUCAAGUUAAAAAGCUCAAGAAAGUUCUUGGUGGAACUGGCUAGGAUUGCUAAAGUUGUUUCUUGCUAAGAAUCCAUUUCUUCAUGUGUAUUGAUUAGACUUAUGUGGGUUGUGUUCUCGUCAAUUGUUUUCCCCUUAGUUUUAUGGAAUUUUGUUAUGAUCUCGAGUGUAAAAGCUCCAAUGCAUUGUUUCAGGUCGCCAAGUUUAGAGCACAAGAAUCUAGUUUCUAUUUCACAUAAAUAGUACAAUCAACACAUGUUCCUUUCAAAGAAUAAAAAGAAAAUAAUGCUGCAGGUUUUUAAGUUCUUCAGGAAAUGAAAAAAAUAAAUUCAAAAGGAAGCAUGGUGGAAGAAGGUAAGAAACGACAACUCUUAUUUAUACUAUAUUAUAUAUAUAUGAUGAAAACUUUAACUUCUUCUUCUUCUUUUAUUUUUUUAGUAGAAUCACAUUGCUGCUACUAUUUUCUAGUUCUUCCAUCUUUUUUCAGAGAAAAUCUUUUUUAUAGUUUUGUCUUAGACACCCUUUUGUAUAAUGCUAGCUAAUGACAUUUUAUUACCAUCUCUUCAAUAUGUUUAUGUAUUUUAACACGGCUAUUCAUCGUUUUUUUUUUUUUUUUUACAAGAUUAUUGUCACAUUUCUCUAGCCUGAAAUCUCUUUUUAAAAUUUUGUUUUUUAAGGGGUCAUUCUAUUUUGAUUUAUUUUUUAUUAGGUUAUUCUUAUCUUUUUCUUAUCAUAACUCCUUGGUCUUUUUUUAUUUUAUUUUAUUUUAUAGGAAGAGCUCCCUUUUCUUCUUGUUUUUUUUUUUAAUGUGUGAUUUAUUUUAUACCACACCUCUUCUUGUCCAAGGAUAUGUUUGCUUGCAUUGAGCAUCUCUUGACUUCUUCUAUCAUUUUUUUAAUGCAAGGUUUUAAUUGUCUUAUUAAUUUCUGUCAUCUUGCAUCUUUACUUUAUUUUUAAUUCUUUGAAUGUCACUUUAUCAUCAAUUUAAUUUUAGAAUUUCUCCCUUGCUAAACACAUGUGCUCUAAUCCCUCAAAUCCCCAAGUAACUCUAAUACCAUAUUAAAAGAAAACCCUAGAGAAAAGAGAAAUUAUAGAAGGAAGCAUGGUGGAAAAAACUCUUCAUAUCAUAAGUCCCGUGAACUUGAACUUAUAUUAUAAUACUCUCAAUAUAUAUAUAUAUAUAUAUUGUAGACUUCAAAAUCAAUUCCAUCAACUGGGAUUCAUGUAUUUUUAUGGGAGCUAAUAUUCCAGUACCAGGGAGAGGCCACGAGUCCCUGGACAGUGAUAAGCUUAUCCAUUCUGUAUGAACGUGAACAGGAAGCAUGCUAUAACAGAUGUCAAUUCUUGAGCUGGAGGAGUGAUUGUGAUUGGGCCGUGGGGACAAUGGGCUAGCUUUUAUAAAGCACUGAAUAUGUAAUCUCAAUGAAUCUCAUGAACAAAAUACUCGUAAGGCUUCUCUCUGCUAAAAACUUUUGGAAAAAACUUAUUUAACAUUAAUGUGGAUAUAUUUACAAAUUAUAUAAAUAAAAUAAAAUUUGUAAAGAAGGUAAGACCGUCAAACAUAUUGUACGAUAAAAUCAUAACUUUAAAUUCCACUAUUAUAUCACACUUAAAAUUUAUCAAAUGAUUUUAUACACUCAUUUCUAUAGGAGGGAUCAAUUCGUUAUAAAUAGUCAACAUUUGAAAAGUCAUUAAAUUAAACUAUUUUUUUUUUGUUCUUUUUAUUAUUUUCCUAUUUAACUUUAUAUUUUAAUUUCUUUUACUACUUAUCUUUUUUAUUAUUUUUUUUGUUAGUUUAGUUUUAACCCUUAUACAAAUAUAAAUAGUUAAUAUGUUAUUUUUUUAAUCACAUUAUUGAAUUUCAGACUUUUUAAAAAAUGUUUGAGUUUUCUCUAUCUAUUUCUCUAUAAUUUAGUGUUGUAACCUUAAGGUUUGAAAACUCUAUUUUUAUUUACGCUAUAAUUUACUUAAAGUAAAUAACGAACAACUGAAAUAAAAAACAAAAACAUUGUGGCCAUAGACUCGGUUUACUAAUCAUCGCUACAGUGUUACACGAUAUUUUUUCCUUUCUAGAAAAAAAUUAAUGAACUUGCAUUUGAGGGUAAUAUGGUCUUUUGCACAUGGUCCAUUAAUCAUUUUGAAAUUGAUUGGCGAUAACUAAGUCUUUUCACUUUUGUUUGCAUUGUAUAAUUACUGAAUUAUCCUUAAAAAGAAAAAAAAUAUUAAGUUGCCAUCCAAGGUCAUUUUUGUCUUUUAUUCUUAUUUGCACAGUAAAAUGAUGAUUAUACCCUUGAAAAACAAAAAUGAUAAACUAUCACCCAUGGACUAUUUUGUCCUUUCAAAUUGUUUUUUUUUUGUUUGUUAUAACUAUGUUUUCUUAGGGGCAAUCUUGUCUUUUAAUAAAAAAAUAUAAAAAAGUUGUUCAUGCAUGCAUAACACAUGUCGGAGAAUUUGUCGCCUUCGGGUGGCGUGUCUGGAGGUUUCCGACGGUCAAUGACAAGUUUUCUUAGUAUGGUUAGGUUUGUCUCGGUGGUAUCUCCCUUCUACAGUGGCGUGUGUGGUGUUUUGAGCUUCGGUUUGACGCCAAUGGACCUUUUUUUUCUCUCUCUCCACCUCGCUUUCCUCACAUGACACUUCAAAAUUUCAAACCAAUCCUUCAAUUUGUUUUUCUUUUAAAUUUUGAUCUUUGUUCUUUUAAUUAUUAUUUUUUUUAAUUCAAAAUGGUUUAUAGAAUUGUAAUUUUUUUUCAAUUUCAUCAUCUUUUAAUUUUUUAUCUAUUAUAUUUGGUUCUUAUUCUUUUGAUUGUUGUUGAUUUAUUUUAGAUAAUUUUUUAAAUUAAAGGUUUUUUUUACAAUUUCAUCCUCAUUUAAUUUAUUUUCUAUGUGAUUUAAUCCUCAUUCUUUUCUUGCAAUUCUAUUUUCUUUGGAAUAUUUUUUUUAAUUUAAUUUUUUUGACAACUUCAUCUUUUAAUAUUAAAUUGGUUGGGAAUUGAGCUUCUUAAUUUAACCGAGAUCUAGGAUUUUAUGGGUUAAGAAUUUGGGGGAUUAACCCAAGUUUAGGAGAUUUAUGUGAGUUUGCUUCUUCUUUUUUCUUCCUUUUUUUAAGCUAAUUUGUUUUUCAGUCAUAUUUUGUUUUUAUUAUUUUAAUUGCUAUAAGUUUUGUUUUAGAUGAUUUCUAUAAUUGAAGUUUUGUUUUUAGAAUGUCAUCCUUCAAUUUUUUUUCCCCAUGUGCUUCCCUUCUUUUUUUUUUUUGUUGCAAUUCAUUUUUUCUUUGACAAUUUUUCUUUAAUUUAGAUUUUUUUAUGAUUUAAUCCCCCAAUAUUAAAUUUUUUAGGAAUUGAGCUUCUAUAUUAAUCCCGAGUCUAGGAUUUCACAGGUUACGAGAUUGGAUAAUUAAUCAUAGUCUAGGAAAUUCACUCGUGUAUCCUUAAGUAAUAUUUUUUUCAGUUUCAUUCUUCAACAUUUAAGUUUUAUUCUUCAAUAUUUAUUUAUUUCAUUAAUUUUAUCUCCACUCUUUAAUCGAACUUGAGGUUAGUUAAGACCUGGUCAAGGCACAGCUAAGAGAAGAAUAAGAUCACCAUUUAAAUAGUGCAACCAGUUUGCUCUUAGCCUUUUAGAUCGAACAAGCAACAUCAACUUUUAUUUAUUUAUUUAUUAACACGUAAGAUGGUUGAUUAAUUUUAUCUGAUGCAUUAAGUUUUUAAUCCUCAUUUAAAAUAUUUUAUCACAUGUAAAAAAAAAUAGUAACGCUCAUAUUUUUUUAAUGCAAUCUUGAUCUGACCCACAACAAAGCACAUGCCUGGACUUAGUCUCAUCUAAAGAGGACUAUUAAUCAAUGAUCAAAAUAUUUUUUAUUUUUAUUUACCCGUUCUUUGGUUACUGUGUAUAGAACUUCUUCUUUUUUUUUUUUUUCGUAAUUGCAUUGGUGUUUAGUUUAGUGAUUAGUCCAUUAGCCCACACUCUACUGCGAGUCAGACCAAAUUUGUUUUAGGUGUUUGAAAAAAUAGGGAUAACAAAUGAUUAUUUUUAUUUCUAAUUUAGAAUAUUCAUUGGGAUUUAUAUUUGAUAAUUUAUUUGUUUGAGACUGUGAUAACUCUACACAAAAAAUAAAAUUCAUUAAUGAUAUUGAUUUUCCAGCCAAUCUAAUAUUAAAUGAUGAAAUAAAAAAAAUUAAAUUGUGAUGAUAUUAAAUAAACAAUCAAAUUACCUUCAAGAACAAAUGAUCAGACCAAAAACAAAACUGAUAUGGUAUUACAAAUAAGACCCUGAAGCCCAGCGUUAAAACUACGUAGCUAUGCUUUUUUGGGCAAUAAAUGAAUUGAACUGUUUAAAUUUUUUUAAAAAAACCUCUAGGUCCAAACUAAGUGAUGUUUUGCCUUUAAUAGUAUUAAAGUAAUUUAACUUUACAAAUAAGUUGCAAAAGACACUAGUAAAGUCGACCAAUUAAAAAAUUGUUAAUUCACAAUAAUGGAAGGAUGAGAAGUGUUUUUUUAGGACAUAGCAAUUAACUUAGCGUUUCAAUCCAUAAUAAUUGAUCUGGACAAAACCUCAAAAUUUUUGUUAGUUUUCAAAGUAAAAAAUAAUAUGAAAGAAGAAAAAUAAUAAAGAACAAAUUUAGCAUGGUUAAAAUUUGAAGGAUGAAAUUGAAAAUAAAAUCUAAUUUUAAGAGUUAAUUAAAAUAAAACAAAUAAAAAUCUAAAAAUAUAAAAGAUUAAAGCGAAAGUUUAAAGACUUGAAGGGUUGAUACGAAAACUUCAGGAUCAGGCAUGGUUUUUUAGAAAAAAAGAAAAAAAAAACCAUCACUCACCGGGAGAUGAGUACACUUGCUCAAGCAACUAAAUUUUACAAAAGAAACAGCGAAAAUAAUGUCCAAUACAGAAUUAACAUAGCAGAAAACAAAAAUCUUGAGCUCCAUGCUGAUGAUUAUCUUAUGCAGCACUGUUAAACUUAGAUUCUUAACAAUAUUCUAGGAGUAGGAUGAUCGGGGUUACACACAUGAUGAUGAACUCCAAAAACUUUGAAGAUUUGUUCUCAUUGCUACCUUCUAACUAUGUUUAUAGCCAUGAAAUAGAAAUUGGCUGCACAGAUUUCGAGCAUUCUUGAUCAUUAGGGCAACUCAUAAAAGAGCAUGGUUCUGGAACGUCAUAUUCUUACAGACAUGCAAAUUAAUCACAACACAAGGAAGUCCCACAUCCGAAUUCUGUAAAUUCUGUAUGUAUUCUUGUGUAAUUGAUUGUGCUAAUCUGUUAUAUUUCUCUGUUUGUGAACUGAUUUAAGAUUUUGCAGUUGUUUCCACUGUAUUUUUCUUAGCUGCCUCGCAUAUUUAAUGUCAAAAAACGAAACGAAAAGGUAAAAAGAAAGGACCUGGUUACAGACAGCAGGUGUAAGUUGCUAUUUGUGUGUGUGUGUGUGUGUGUGUGUGUGUGUGUGUGUGUGUGUGUGUGUGUGUGUGUGUGUGUGUGUGUGUGUGUUGGGAAGAGUUUUUUUGGAUUUAAUCAUAAAAUUAUGAUUAAGGUUCAGGAGUCGCCACCUAGUAUUAUGGUUAUUAGAAACCUAUGAUCUGCGGGAGUUUAGGUAAGAGACUGGUUGUGCAAGGAGAAGACGUAUCACCCUCAGUACACCCUAUCUAGGGCAAGCUUCAUUAUUGUUUGAUUGUUUUUUCUAAGUCGGGUUUUUAUUCGUUAGUCUUUUCUAAGGUUCAAGGUAGAUCUCUCUUCAUGAGAAAGUCUCUGCUUUAUUGGGUUAAAUCCUAACCGUUCUAAGUCUGAAUUUUAGCAUCAUAUUUAUUUACACCUUGUAUCUUUAAUACCUGAAAGUGUACUUUGUCGUGUAAUUUUACACUCCACAGAUAUUAAAAUCUACAUUUGGACCCUAAAAAAGAUUGGAAAAAAGUUUUUGAUAUUUUGGCUAAACCCUAAUGGAUGAUCAUAAAUUGGUUAUGAUAUCCAUUUUAAAAUAUAAAAAAAAAAAACAUGAGAAAGAUGCAAUUUUUUAAUAAAAAUAUACUUGGAAAAGUUUUAGAAUUUGGUCGUAUGCAUGAAAAUAAAAUAUUUGUUUUUGUUUUUUUUAAGGGGCAAUUAAUUUAAAAUAUUUAAGAUUUUUUGAAAAACAAUUUUGAAAACAUUUCGGAGAAAAUCAAAUAUUUUAAUACCGGAUUUAUAUCUUACAGUAUAAGUAUACAACCCAAUAUUAAGCAAAAUUGGUAGAAAAACAUUUGAAAAACAUCACAAAUAUUUUAAAAUGCUCCUUGAAUUUUUUUUUUAAAUAUAAUAAUAUAUUACCCAAUAUGUGGGCUGGGUCGAACUCAGCCCAGAACAAAGUUGGUCCAAUCUCGACCCAAAAAUAGUUGGCCCAAUCUCAACCCAAUGUAAUCUUUCUUCUUCUUUUUUAGGGUUGGGCCAGACCCAGCCACUUGGGUUGGGCCAUUACUGGCUCGGCCCAAACCACAGGCUAAUUAAUUAGGCGCUGCAUGUAGAAAUAAAUUCUGCAUGCAGCAGCCACGACAAGGAAGAAAGAGGUGAAGUAGGGAGGAGAAAGUUGUCUGGUGUGGGGGUCUCGGACGUGAUGAGGUGGUUUGGGCGGUGGCUCAGGAGGCGUCGGCUGAGGGAAUGGUGGCCGGAUUCAGCUAAUGGAGGAAGAAGAAAAAAGUUUGCAGAGGAGAGAGAAAGGCUGGAAGGAGAAGAGAGAGAGUCGCGGUGGCUGCUUGGUGGCCGGUUGGUGAGGAGUUCAAGCAACCGCUUGUAGUGGAGACGGUGAUGAAACGAAGGUGGUAGGAAUGGUGGUGACCGAAGGCCACGGCGGAGAGAGAGAGAGAAAGACAGAAAGAUAGAGAGAAGGUGGCAGAAACCGAGAAGAUGCUGAUUUUUUGGCUUACUUUGGACCUGAUUUUCUCCUCCUUCAGACCUUGAAAUCCACCUCUAUUUAUAGGUGGUGGAAGAGGGUAAUCUUGUCUACACUGUGGAAAAAUUGCAGCCCUUGAUUCAGUUGGGAAGGAUCCCAAUCGUUGGUUCAAAGUAGGCAUCCUGAGUUGUCAAAUAUGCAGGAAAAGGUUGACUAAGUUGGCCUCUUUAGGCCAGCUCCGACAUCGAUGGGUUGUCAUUCAGCCUGAACAAGUCAUAUAAGGCUACAGAGAAAUUGCAGGGGAUCAUUUGCGUGCAAGAUUUGUCAACUUUGAUUAGCGUUGGAUGCAUUAAAUGCACCUACAAAGUAGCUUCCCUAAGUUGUCAUUUCAAAGAAAAUUGAAGAAGAAGAUAAGGAAGGGGAUUCGCUUAGAAAAGAAUUUUAGGAAGUCAUCACAACCUGAACAGUAGCAGAGUUCUAUUUUUAUCAAAGUUCAAUUCAGUCCUCCCUCUUUAAAUUUGAUUUAAUUGCACCCCUAAUUGACUCUAUACUUUUGAUUUAGUACAAUUUAGCCCCUGCCGAACUUGAAUUAGAACCCUAAAUUUAAGCGCUCGGUUUUAUGCAAUGUAACCUCUAAUUCAUCCUAAAACUUCAAUUUUCUUGCAAUUUGACCCCUGAUUUCAAUCAAUUAACUUGGUAAAAAUUAAAUUUGGUCUCCUAAAAUUCCAAUCUUCUCAAUUAAACCCAAAUUAGGCUCCCAAACUUAAUUUUUCACCAAUGAAGCCUCAAAUAAAAUUAAUUUGACCCAUUUAAAGUAUAAUUAAGUCCUUGCACUUAAUUAUAUCCUUCAAUUGUACCCAAAUUAAUUCUUAAACAUAAUUAAAAUUUAAUUUGGCUCAUGAUUAAAUCAAAUUGGCCUAUUAAAAAUUUAAUUAUGUCUUUGGACUUAAUUUUUAUGCAAAUUCAUCGGAUAAUCAUUUAAUUUAACCUUUAAUUUGUAUUUUUUUUCUCUAUUUUUUGGUAUAAUAGGGUACAAUUAAGUCUUAAAAUUUCCUCCAAAAUUGUUGUUCAAUUUCCCGGUCUACUUUCUCCAUGUUGACAGCUUUUAUUUUAUUUUUUUGAUUUUUAUUUUGAAAAAAAAUAAAUUUAAGAGAAUAAUCCUAAAUUGGGUUAUGAGUGCAACAAUGGGUUAUCCAUAUUUGGAAGCAUAAAACUAGAAAUUUGGUUGUAGUUGAUGGGUCUUUUUCAAUCCAGCGACAAAACCAAGCCUCAAAUAGUACAGAACAGAACCAAACAUGAAGUUGAGAUUUUAAAUUAGCAAAGACAGAGUUUGCCGUCUCUUAAGUAGGGGUGUUCAAAAAAACCGACCAACCGAUUAAACCGAAAAAACCGAAAAAACCGAGAAAAAAAUAACCGAAAAAACCGAACCGAUAAAAAAACCGAAUAAACCGAUUAAAAAAUAAAAAAAAAUCACCUGGUCCGGUUCGGUUCCGGUUUAAAAAAGCUUAAACCGAUUGAACCGGACCAAACCGGACCGGUUUAAUUGAAUCUAAAAGAGGGGUAUAAAAAGAAAAUUCUAAACCUAAAUACCCUAACCCUACCUUUCCAGCCCCCCCUCCCUUUACCUUUUCUCUCUUUCCAGCCGCCCCCUUCCUUUCCCCCCCGCUUUAUGUACUCUCAUAUCUUGCUAAUGAGCNNNNNNNNNNNNNNNNNNNNNNNNNNNNNNNNNNNNNNNNNNNNNNNNNNNNNNNNNNNNNNNNNNNNNNNNNNNNNNNNNNNNNNNNNNNNNNNNNNNNAACCGAUGACUUACGCCUUACCAUGGCGUUACUCUACCACUGAGUUAAAAGGGCCCAUUUGAUUCAAUUCCGAAAUGAGCCAGCAUGCGGAUAAUCCAUAUCUAGAGAAAUAGAUUCUACAUCAAAUCUAUGUAAAGUAAAUAGAUUCUAUAUAAUUUUUUAUAUUUUUUUUUCUAUAUUAUCUAUAUUAUUAGAAUAUAAUAAUAUAGAAAAAUCUAAUGAAAUUCAUUCUAUUGACAAUUUCAAAAAACUGUUCAUACUAUGAGUAUAAUAUGCUGACGAUCGGGCAAAUGUGCCCCCAUCGUCUAGUGGUUCAGGACAUCUCUCUUUCAAGGAGGCAGCGGGGAUUCGACUUCCCCUGGGGGUAGGGUAUUACGAAAGGAAGUUGAUGGGGGAUUCUUAAGAAGUCUGGAAUUUUUUCUUCCUGGGUCGAUGCCCGAGCGGUUAAUGGGGACGGACUGUAAAUUCGUUGGCAAUAUGCCUACGCUGGUUCAAAUCCAGCUCGGCCCAAUAAUUCACUGAUCCACCAUGAAAUGAUAUAACCCCUUUGUUCUUUCGAAAUGUCUGAUAAAAAAAAAAAGAAGUAAAAAUUUCUGCUCUACUUGUUAUUUAUUUGAUUUGCUUUCUUUUUUUACCACAAAUUAUGAUCUUUCUGACGAUCUAGAUUCAUAUCAGGAUUUGUAAGUAGAAAGUCUAAGAAAAAAAAGUAAUAGAAAGAAAAAAGAGUCUUUUUUUUUUUCAUUGAAAGGUUGAUUAUCAAUUGAUUUUGAGAUUUUUAUUUGAAAUAACGAAAAGAUAACUAAUAAUUUGUGCCAGUAUCACUAAAAUAUAUAUGCGCAAAAUAUAUAUGCGCGUGGAUAUCAAUAUUACCUACCACUCGCACUCUGUUACAACGAGGCGAUUCCAAUUUAAAAUCUAAACAGAAAGUGUUUGAAUGAAAUCAGAAGAAUAUGUAUGCUGUAUUUCGUUUCCCUGGGAUUGUAGUUCAAUUGGUCAGAGCACCGCCCUGUCAAGGCGGAAGCUGCGGGUUCGAGCCCCGUCAGUCCCGACAAAUCCAAUAAACAAUAAUCCAAUAAAAAAAAAUACAUCAAUUCAUCUCUUCAUUUUCUGUAAAAGGGGUACAAAUAGCAGAAUUUCGUUCCCAAAGGGGAUCCUUAUUAUUAUUUUAUAUUAUUUAUAGAUUUUUUAUUUAUUUUCUUUAUUUUCGUUUUUCAUCAAAGCAAAUACAAAUAUGGUCAUUUUCAUUUCUUCAACUAGUAUCGAUGGAGAUGGAUAAAGACACAUGUGGAUUAGUACAAUUAUUGGUAGCGUCAUAUUCAGGAUUCUAAGAGAGACCUCACUGAAUUUGGCCUUUUCGAUUCCUCCCGAUCCGUAUAAUGAAAUCGAAUCGAGUACCCUAUCUUUCCCGGUAGCACAUACACAAAUAGAAUUCUUAUUUGUACGAUACAAAAUGACUUUAAUUUCUUUGAUAAAAUCCUUUUAAUCGGAAAAGUCUCUUCUUUUUUCGCUCCGAUUUUGUGUAACCUCAAUUAUUUGAAACAAUCUAUCUCAUUCAAAUUGUACACUGAAGUUUUGAUAUAUUAUAUGGCUCCCAUUCCUAAUUCAAUCAAGUAAAGAGUAUAUUAAUAAAAUAAAAAUCAAAUAAGGACUCUGCCUCUCUUAGAGAGAGAGGGAAUGGAUAAUCUUUUUUAAGGGUUUAUGCCGAAGAAAAAACAAACUCUAAAAAAAAAAGUGAAUUUGGUAGAAUAUUCGAUUUUUUUUAUACUGUACUAGGACUUAUCUUUAUCACACUUUUUUUUUUGUUUUCCAAUCCAAUAAGAUUAGAUCAUUCAAAAAAGGAGUUUAGAACAUAACUCCCCCUUUCCCAUUUCGCUUCUAUUGUUUGUUUGGGUUUGUUUUUGUUUUGUUUGUAACUUAUGUAAGUUUAAAGACGAUUAGAUGAUACUUAGUCAGAUGAUUGUACAAGGAAGGAGAUAGUUUUAUAGAAAAGAAAGAAUGGAAAAGAAUGAUAAAUAAAGUAACAAAGUAAGGAAAUUUUCGAUUGGAUCAGGAAUCCAUUUUUGGAUUUGGUAUGAAUAAAUGAUCUUUCUAUGUUAUACUAUUCAAUUCUCGACGAUAAAUCGAUUUGAGAGUUCAGAUAUUGUUAUUCAUGAUAUUGAUCUGAUUCGAUAUCAUCGAGAUGGAAUUCAUCCCAUUGAAUUUAGAGGCGAAAGAUUUCUCAUCUCUUAUGGGAUUAAAUCCCGAAUUAUUGUGAAGUAAAGAAAAACGAAACGAUGAGAUUAUGGAAGUAAAUAUUCUCGCAUUUAUUGCUACUGCACUGUUCAUUCUAGUUCCUACUGCUUUUUUACUUAUAAUAUAUGUAAAAACUGUUAGUCAAAGUGAUUAAUUUGAAUGAAACUUGACUUCUUAGUUCUUAUCAAUAUCAAGAAUUAACGAAAUAAAAUGAAAAGAAUUCCAAUUUUGCGUUUUAGCUGAAAUGAGCGAACUAGAAUCAGCAGGAUUCUAUGAGAUCCGAUAGUAUGGUAGAAAGUAAUAUAUUUACUACCAUACUAUCUAUUUUUGUUAUUCUAGUAUAUAAAGUUGUACUGUAGAAAGAUCUGGGCUUAAUAUGGAUCAAUCUAGAAUGUCAUCUUCAUAUUCAUAUAUAGAUAGAUAUAUAGACAAUAGAUAUUAAUUAUCUAUAUGGAAUGUACAUAAGGUUCAAAUUUGAUUUCUUUUCUUCAUAUGUUUGAUUUGUGUUGGUUCCAAUUAAUCUGGAAUAGUUGAAAGGCGCCUCUUACUCUUAUGAUUCCAAUUCUUGGAUUUCUGAUUAUUUUCAAUAUGAAUCCCAGAAUCCAUUGAAAUAAUCAAAUCAAUGAAAAGAAAAAAAAAGAAUAGUUGGGGUAUGUAUUAAUAAAAAUAAAAGAAAAUCAAGAAAUCUUUUUUUAGCAUUCCAAAGAAGUAAUUAAUUGAACACAUCCAAGGAAAGGAGUUUUAUAAAAACUUUUUCAGAUUUCGACGAAAAGAAAAGGAUUAGUAAACCCCGCCGAUUUUAAAUCUUUGAAUCAUAAUAU